GCGUGGGGGUUGCUUAUCCUUGGUUGGGAACGGCAUUUCGCCCAAACGAGCGUGGACGUUUGUGCAUGUGGGGCCUCUUUCUGCGUUCUUCGUAACUGCAGUUCAAAGGGAACAAAGCGGGGUGCUGCUGGUUGUUUGUGAAUCUUGCACGUGCUCUUUUGGGGAGGGGGCUACAAAAAUGCUUCAUUCGAGGGAGCAAAAUGGAAUUCUGAGGAGGUCUGAAUCGGGGAUCUCCUUGGGGUUUGGAAGGCUCCGAAAGUAGUUCAUCGACGAGCAAAAAGGGAUCCAUUGCUGUUGAUAGGUUAUCUAUCAGGACAGAUUGAAUCCAUGAAAAGUCUGGAACCUGCUGACAGCUGCAAAAGUUAUUAAGCAAAAUAUCUGCAUUUCACUUAAGGAAUGGCAAUUGAACAUUUGGAAACUAGUAGCAUAAACGAAAAAGUUUUCUAUCUGUAAUCAAGGCAUCCCUGUCCAUGUUGGGAGACUACUUCAUACAUCCGAGGACAUGAUCCCUCAGAGCUCAAAAUCUCAUGCCCCUAUAUAUGUUAGUCUUUAAGAUUCCACCAGACUCUUUGUAGUUUUAAUCUAGGUUACGUGAUUUAAAGCAUGUCUCCUCACACUACUAUACCUUUCACACAUUUCUUUAAAUAUACUUGCAAAACUUUCA